CCAGUUCGGACUGGAGUCUGCAACCCGACUCCACGAAGUUGGAUUCGCUAGUAAUCGCGCAUCAGCCAUGGCGCGGUGAAUACGUUCCCGGGCCUUGUACACACCGCCCGUCAAGCCAUGGGAGCCGGGGGCGCCUGAAGUCCGGGACCGCGAGGACCGGCCUAGGGCGAAACUGGUAACUGGGGCUAAGUCGUAACAAGGUAUC
rnacentral:rRNA from 1 species